CUCCUGGGAAGUCCUAGUGUUGCACCCG
rnacentral:rRNA from 1 species